UACCCCACCUCUGAUUGUUUCAGCUAAUAGAGUUCUCCACAGUUAAUCUUGGAAGAUUCUUAAUUUUUAAAGUCAUUAUUGAGUUUCCAUAGACGUCUGGUCUAUGGAAAAACUGUCUUCCACGAAACUGGUCCCUGGUGCUAAAAAGGUUGGGGACCACUAUACUAUAGUACCUGAUACUAAAUACCACAAAUUAGUUCUUCAAUACCUCAUCAGUGCUCAGUGACAGUUUUGUCAAAAGUCAUCAGAAACAAAGUCUGGGCAUCUGUCAUAGCCAUGAAGAGCCUAAGGAGACUUUACUGUGCUAUAACUGGAUGGGAUUUUAAAGCAGAAAAAGACAUUACAUAAAAACAAAUCUGAAUCAAGUAUGGACUUGAUAUUAUUGUGUCCACAUUGGUUCAUUGAUUGUAACACACAUACCAUACCAACAUAAGAUGUUAACAGAAGAAGUGGAGUGUGAGUAUAUGGGAACUCUCCUACCUUUGCAAUGUUUCUGUACAUCUAAACCUUGUUCCAAAAUUAAAAGUUUAUCAAAAAUUUUUUAAAUUUUAAAGUAUGAGGAUUAUUAUACUCAAAGUGGAAGACAAAGUAAUGGGAGUGAAAGCUGGAGAAGUAUAGAUUAUAAAUCAGUGAUCUGUUCCAGUUGUCAACUUAAAAUAGGGACAAAGAAUAGGGAGUUUAGAGAUUUACAUUUCAAUCCCAACUUUGUCAUUAAGAAAUUGUGUCGUUUUGAAGAAGAUGGUAAACCUCUUCACUCCAUAUUUAUCUCUAAGAUUAUGCUGUACAAAGUCCAUAGUCAUUCUUGGUGAUUUAGUCUCAGAUAUCUGAGUGCUGGUAGUUAUUUAUUUAUUCUUUUUCCCAGAGAUCAUUACAGCUUCUCAAUAUGAGAAUCAAGAACUUUUUCCAUUCAUGUAUGAUUUUAAUUUGUUACUUCAAAGAACAAAUCACAAAUUUGUUCAGUUUUAGAGUCAAACUUCCUAGUGCCUAAAUUCUGAAAGAGGUCUCAGGCUGGAAGUAGGUAGAAUUUCUCAUGAAUUUUAAGUUCAAGUUCCCGAACAUGGUAGCA
rnacentral:lncRNA from 10 species